UGGACUCAUGGAAAACCGGAGCGGGCCUUAGUUACAGAAACUUGUAAGCUGUCAAAAUAUUUGAAGCAAAACCACUGGAAGAGAAGAGAGCGCAGAGGACAGAGAGAGAGAGAGAGAUAGACGCUGCAGAAAGGCGGCACAGCAAUCCCCUCGUCUGGAUGUUCCGCCUCUGCCAUCGCCAUGAGAACUCGCCCCGCGGUCAAUCAAAGAGCCAUUCAACCUCGGAGAAUAAGCCAAUGCCGCGCCUGGCACCUGGGCUCUCUUACAGGCACACAGGCCAGCAGCGAUUUUUGCCUGGGAACUUUCCCACGGAUGCAGGACCUGCCAAGCCUCUGGCUUAUUACUGAAGAAUGAACUGACCUCAGCUGAAGCAGGUUCAAGCCAAGUGGGAGUGUCUCCAUUGGCAACGUGUUCUUCACUCUAGUCGGUCUGAAUACAGGCAGGAACGUUGGAACGUGAGCGGGUCAACAGUGCGGUGGCGAACCUCAACGUUGUGGUUCUGAUGGACUCAGAUAAACUCAGAUGUUUCUCUUUGCUUUUGAAAGACAAGCAACCAAAAGUGUCAAGAAGUUAAAAUUAAAGCCUAAAAUGAUUAUGUUACACGUUGACUUCCAUCUGUCUGUUAUCCUUGACUGUCUCAAAUAAACCCAAUGUAUUUCA